rnacentral:misc_RNA from 1 species
GAUGAAGAACGUAGUGAAAUGCGAUAAGUAAUGUGAAUUGCAGAAUUCAGUGAAUCAUCGAAUCUUUGAACGCACCUUGCGCUCCUUGGUAUUCCGAGGAGCAUGCCUGUUUGAGUGUCAUGAAAUUCUCAACCUUUUCAGCUUUCUUUGUUGAUCAGGCUUGGAUGUGGGAGUAUGCGGGCUUCUCAGAAGUCGGCUCUCCUGAAAUGCAUUAGCGGGACCUUUGUUGCCUGGCUUUGGUGUGAUAAUUAUCUACGCCAUUGUAGUCAAGCAGCUUAAAAUGAGGUUUCAGCUUCUAACCGUCUCCCCUGAGACAACUUUUUGACAAUUUGACCACAAAUCAGGUAGGACUACCCGCUGAACUUAAGCAUAUCAAUAAGCGGAGGA